UACGGAGGGUGCAAGCGUUAUCCGGAUUUACUGGGUUUAAAGGGUGCGUAGGUGGGUUGGUAAGUCAGUGGUGAAAUACUUUCGCUUAACGAAGGAACUGCCAUUGAUACUACCAGUCUUGAAUACAGUGGAGGUAGGCGGAAUGCGUCAUGUAGCGGUGAAAUGCUUAGAUAUGACAUAGAACACCAAUUGCGAAGGCAGCUGGCUACACGAAUAUUGACACUGAUGCACGAAAGCGUGGGGAUCAAACAGG
rnacentral:rRNA from 1 species